rnacentral:rRNA from 1 species
CACGUAGGGCGCAAGCGUUGUCCGGAAUUAUUGGGCGUAAAGAGCUCGUAGGCGGUCUGUUGCGUCCGCUGUGAAAACCCGGGGCUUAACCCUGGGCUGGCAGUGGAUACGGACAGACUAGAGGUAGGUAGGGGAGAAUGGAAUUCCCGGUGUAGCGGUGAAAUGCGCAGAUAUCGGGAGGAACACCGGUGGCGAAGGCGGUUCUCUGGGCCAUUACUGACGCUGAGGAGCGAAAGCGUGGGGAGCGAACAGG